GACGUAGGAGGCGAGCGUUGUCCGGAUUCAUUGGGCGUAAAGAGCACGCAGGCGGUUUGGCAAGUCGGAUGUGAAAACCCGAAGCUCAACUUCGGGCCUGCAUCCGAAACUGCCCGACUAGAGGUAGGUAGGGGAGAUCGGAAUUCCUGGUGUAGCGGUGAAAUGCGCAGAUAUCAGGAAGAACACCAGUGGCGAAGGCGACUUCCUGGCCCGUUCUUGACGCUGAGGCGCGAAAGCUAGGGGAGCAAACGGG
rnacentral:rRNA from 1 species